GAUGAACGCUGGCGGCGUGCCUAAUACAUGCAAGUCGAGCGAACGGACGAGAAGCUUGCUUCUCUGAUGUUAGCGGCGGACGGGUGAGUAACACGUGGAUAACCUACCUAUAAGACUGGGAUAACUUCGGGAAACCGGAGCUAAUACCGGAUAAUAUUUUGAACCGCAUGGUUCAAAAGUGAAAGACGGUCUUGCUGUCACUUAUAGAUGGAUCCGCGCUGCAUUAGCUAGUUGGUAAGGUAACGGCUUACCAAGGCAACGAUGCAUAGCCGACCUGAGAGGGUGAUCAGCCACACUGGAACUGAGACACGGUCCAGACUCCUACGGGAGGCAGCAGUAGGGAAUCUUCCGCAAUGGGCGAAAGCCUGACGGAGCAACGCCGCGUGAGUGAUGAAGGUCUUCGGAUCGUAAAACUCUGUUAUUAGGGAAGAACAUAUGUGUAAGUAACUGUGCACAUCUUGACGGUACCGAAUCAGAAAGCCACGGCUAACUACGU
rnacentral:rRNA from 1 species